CCUACGGGAGGCAGCAGUAGGGAAUAUUGGGCAAUGGAGGCAACUCUGACCCAGCCAUGCCGCGUGCAGGAUGAAGGCGUUAUGCGUUGUAAACUGCUUUUAUAUAGGAAGAAAUAGACCUUGCGAGGUAAGUUGACGGUACUAUAUGAAUAAGCACCGGCUAACUCCGUGCCAGCAGCCGCGGUAAUACGGAGGGUGCAAGCGUUGUCCGGAUUUAUUGGGUUUAAAGGGUGCGUAGGCGGUUUAUUAAGUCAGUGGUGAAAGACGGUCGCUCAACGAUUGCAGUGCCAUUGAUACUGGUAGACUUGAGUGAGAUUGAGGUAGCUGGAAUGGAUAGUGUAGCGGUGAAAUGCAUAGAUAUUAUCCAGAACACCAAUUGCGUAGGCAAGUUACUAAGUCUCAACUGACGCUGAGGCACGAAAGUGUGGGUAUCAAACAGGAUUAGAUACCCCAGUAGUC
rnacentral:rRNA from 1 species